rnacentral:rRNA from 1 species
CAGCAGCCACGGUAAUACGAAGGGGGCUAGCGUUGCUCGGAAUUACUGGGCGUAAAGCGCACGUAGGCGGAUAUUUAAGUCAGGGGUGAAAUCCCAGAGCUCAACUCUGGAACUGCCUUUGAUACUGGGUAUCUUGAGUAUGGAAGAGGUGAGUGGAAUUCCGAGUGUAGAGGUGAAAUUCGUAGAUAUUCGGAGGAACACCAGUGGCGAAGGCGGCUCACUGGUCCAUUACUGACGCUGAGGUGCGAAAGCGUGGGGAGCAAACAGGAUUAGAUACCCCGGUAGUCCCUGUCUCUUAUAC